AUUGAACGCUGGCGGCAGGCCUAACACAUGCAAGUCGAACGAGACCUUCGGGUCUAGUGGCGCACGGGUGCGUAACGCGUGGGAACCUGCCCUUAGGUUCGGAAUAACUCCCCGAAAGGGGUGCUAAUACCGGAUAAUGUCUUCGGACCAAAGAUUUAUCGCCUUUGGAUGGGCCCGCGUUGGAUUAGCUAGUUGGUAGGGUAAAAGCCUACCAAGGCGACGAUCCAUAGCUGGUCUGAGAGGAUGAUCAGCCACACUGGGACUGAGACACGGCCCAGACUCCUACGGGAGGCAGCAGUGGGGAAUAUUGGACAAUGGGCGAAAGCCUGAUCCAGCAAUGCCGCGUGAGUGAUGAAGGCCUUAGGGUUGUAAAGCUCUUUUACCCGGGAUGAUAAUGACAGUACCGGGAGAAUAAGCUCCGGCUAACUCCGUG
rnacentral:rRNA from 1 species